rnacentral:tRNA from 1 species
ACUAUUUUGGCAGAUGAGUGCAUUGGAUUUAGAAUCCAAAUAUGUGAUUUGAUUAAUUACAAAUAGUA